rnacentral:rRNA from 1 species
CCUACGGGAGGCAGCAGUGGGGAAUUUUCCGCAAUGGGCGAAAGCCUGACGGAGCAAUACCGCGUGAGGGAAGACUGCCUAUGGGUUGUAAACCUCUUUUUCAGGGAGGAAUAAAAUGACGUGUACCUGAAGAAUAAGCAUCGGCUAACUCCGUGCCAGCAGCCGCGGUAAGACGGAGGAUGCAAGUGUUAUCCGGAAUCACUGGGCGUAAAGCGUCUGUAGGUGGUUUAAUAAGUCAACUGUUAAAUCUUGAGGCUCAACUUCAAAACCGCAGUCGAAACUAUUAGACUAGAGUAUAGUAGAGGUAAAGGGAAUUUCCAGUGGAGCGGUGAAAUGCGUAGAUAUUGGAAAGAACACCGAUGGCGAAAGCACUUUACUGGGCUAUUACUAACACUCAGAGACGAAAGCUAGGGUAGCAAAUGGGAUUAGAUACCCCAGUAGUCCUAGCCGUAAACUAUGGAUACUAGAUGUUGAACAGAUCGACCUGUGCAGUAUCAAAGCUAACGCGUUAAGUAUCCCGCCUGGGAAGUAUGCUCGCAAGAGUGAAACUCAAAUGAAUUGACGGCUGAGAGNGCGACGACGACGACGAGGAGAG